rnacentral:rRNA from 1 species
UGCAGUCGACGGCAGCGCGGGCUUCGGCCUGGCGGCGAGUGGCGAACGGGUGAGUAAUGCAUCGGAACGUACCCAGUCGUGGGGGAUAACACAUCGAAAGAUGUGCUAAUACCGCAUACGUCCUGAGGGAGAAAGCGGGGGACCUUCGGGCCUCGCGCGAUUGGAGCGGCCGAUGUCAGAUUAGCUAGUAGGUGGGGUAAAGGCCCACCUAGGCGACGAUCUGUAGCGGGUCUGAGAGGAUGAUCCGCCACACUGGGACUGAGACACGGCCCAGACUCCUACGGGAGGCAGCAGUGGGGAAUUUUGGACAAUGGGGGCAACCCUGAUCCAGCCAUGCCGCGUGAGUGAAGAAGGCCUUCGGGUUGUAAAGCUCUUUCGGCCGGGAAGAAAUCGCACCUUUUAAUAGAGGGUGUGGAUGACGGUACCGGACUAAGAAGCACCGGCUAACUACGUGCCAGCAGCCGCGGUAAUACGUAGGGUGCGAGCGUUAAUCGGAAUUACUGGGCGUAAAGCGUGCGCAGGCGGUUUGCCAAGACAGGCGUGAAAUCCCCGGGCUUAACCUGGGAACUGCGCUUGUGACUGGCAGGCUAGAGUACGGCAGAGGGGGGUGGAAUUCCACGUGUAGCAGUGAAAUGCGUAGAGAUGUGGAGGAACACCGAUGGCGAAGGCAGCCCCCUGGGCCUGUACUGACGCUCAUGCACGAAAGCGUGGGGAGCAAACAGGAUUAGAUA